UUGGCGUGCUUAACACAUGCAAGUCGAACGGAAAGGCCCUGCUUUUGUGGGGUGCUCGAGUGGCGAACGGGUGAGUAACACGUGAGUAACCUGCCCUUGACUUUGGGAUAACUUCAGGAAACUGGGGCUAAUACCGGAUAGGAGCUCCUGCUGCAUGGUGGGGGUUGGAAAGUUUCGGCGGUUGGGGAUGGACUCGCGGCUUAUCAGCUUGUUGGUGGGGUAGUGGCUUACCAAGGCUUUGACGGGUAGCCGGCCUGAGAGGGUGACCGGCCACAUUGGGACUGAGAUACGGCCCAGACUCCUACGGGAGGCAGCAGUGGGGAAUAUUGCACAAUGGGCGGAAGCCUGAUGCAGCAACGCCGCGUGCGGGAUGACGGCCUUCGGGUUGUAAACCGCUUUCGCCUGUGACGAAGCGUGAGUGACGGUAAUGGGUAAAGAAGCACCGGCUAACUACGUGCCAGCAGCCGCGGUGAUACGUAGGGUGCGAGCGUUGUCCGGAUUUAUUGGGCGUAAAGGGCUCGUAGGUGGUUGAUCGCGUCGGAAGUGUAAUCUUGGGGCUUAACCCUGAGCGUGCUUUCGAUACGGGUUGACUUGAGGAAGGUAGGGGAGAAUGGAAUUCCUGGUGGAGCGGUGGAAUGCGCAGAUAUCAGGAGGAACACCAGUGGCGAAGGCGGUUCUCUGGGCCUUUCCUGACGCUGAGGAGCGAAAGCGUGGGGAGCGAACAGGCUUAGAUACCCUGGUAGUCCACGCUGUAAACGGUGGGUACUAGGUGUGGGGUCCAUUCCACGGGUUCCGUGCCGUAGCUAACGCUUUAAGUACCCCGCCUGGGGAGUACGGCCGCAAGGCUAAAACUCAAAGGAAUUGACGGGGCCCCGCACAAGCGGCGGAGCAUGCGGAUUAAUUCGAUGCAACGCGUAGAACCUUACCUGGGUUUGACAUGGAUCGGGAGUGCUCAGAGAUGGGUGUGCCUCUUUUGGGGUCGGUUCACAGGUGGUGCAUGGCUGUCGUCAGCUCGUGUCGUGAGAUGUUGGGUUAAGUCCCGCAACGAGCGCAACCCUUGUUCACUGUUGCCAGCACGUUAUGGUGGGGACUCAGUGGAGACCGCCGGGGUCAACUCGGAGGAAGGUGGGGAUGACGUCAAGUCAUCAUGCCCCUUAUGUCCAGGGCUUCACGCAUGCUACAAUGGCUGGUACAGAGAGUGGCGAGCCUGUGAGGGUGAGCGAAUCUCGGAAAGCCGGUCUCAGUUCGGAUUGGGGUCUGCAACUCGACCUCAUGAAGUCGGAGUCGCUAGUAAUCGCAGAUCAGCAACGCUGCGGUGAAUACGUUCCCGGGGCUUGUACACACCGCCCGUCAAGUCAUGAAAGUUGGUAACACCCGAAGCCGGUGGCCUAACCGUAAUGGGGGAGCCGUCGAAGGUGGGACUGGUGAUUAG
rnacentral:rRNA from 1 species